UUUUAUUUUUUGGGUAGUUGGUGAGUAUUAUUUUAUUUUUUUAGUACAAGGUGACAUAUUAAAAAAAAAAUUAUGAUUUCGUCAAAAAAAAAUUAUGAUUAUAUAUAGAUUUUUUAUCUUUACAAAAUGAAUUAUAUAUAUAUUUUUUGACACAAUAUAGAUUUAAAUGAUUAUUAAAAUGAGAAUGGGGAUAUCUCCUUUUAAAUACAUCAAGGAUAAUUUGGUCAUUAUACUUUUAAAAUCAAUUUUGAUUCAAACUAUCCAAACAAUAUUUUACUCUUAAGAAUCACUUUCAUUUGAGUCUAUCCAAACAUAAAUCAAAUCUGUU
rnacentral:lncRNA from 1 species